rnacentral:lncRNA from 1 species
CAUGACUUCUGCAGGCUGGUGGAAGAUAAAGGGAAGGUUCUUCUGCAGGAAUGUGGUGUGGAGCAAUCUUUGUCAGCGGUCGUGUAUGCAGUGUGUGACUGCACAGGAACUGACUCCUCACCUCAGGCUUUCUGAAGGAACUGGAAUUAAAUUAGACUCUUCUCAGCCAGACCAGUUCCUUUACCCAGUUCAAGAUACAACUAUGGCUACAUCACAGAAAAAGUUGUAUGAAUGUGGAGACAAACAGCGGAAGUAGGAUGCCUCACAUUGGCUGUCAGGGCUGCCAAAAACUGGAAGAAAAAGGAUCGGAGGUAGCAGUGGAAGGGACAGGGCACAAGAAAGAAAAGGAAAGAAACGCGGACGCUCACACACAACUUCUUACAAUGGCUCCAGCAUGCCCUUCCAUUGGCAGGAAUCCUUUUGAUCAAAUCCUUGCCCUGGGCUGGAAGUGUUUUAAUGAGCAUACAGGCAUCGUCUUUUUUUUCCUAUGUCUAUUUUGUGUUCUUAAGGAUAGAUAAGUAAAGUGUGCACUUAAAUGAUCGUGUGAGCACUUCUUAACUGUUUUGUAGAGGAAAGGCAUAGCGCUUGAAUGUGGAGGCUGAACAGUGCCAGCCUGAAGGACAAGGAAAAUAGCAGAGGAGGAAACUUGAGCUGAACCGAACUUGUUUUCUUUAACGUCUUAUUUUCUUUUGGAGAAGGAAUAGGCAGCGUGCAAACAGGUAAACAUCUGUUGGAUGAUGGGUGUUUUAUGGAGACUCCCAUGUCUUGCUGCUUCUCCCCAUAGAAUAUUCUGAAUUGAAAAG